CAAAGUCUAAGGAAGAUAACCAUGUAGUCUGUUCAAAGAUAAGAUCAAUUUUGACAGAACUACAGACCUCGUGAAAGUAGCCUUGUAGUCCUACAGAAAA